rnacentral:lncRNA from 1 species
AACUUAUUUUCACCAAUUUAAAAAUAUAUUUUUAUUCCAUAUGAGAAGUAUGACCGCAACAAGUGAGCCAAGAUUAAAACCCAGGCAGGAUCCAGAGGUCGAGCGGGAUGGGAACCGCGUCCAAUUGGAUUAUCUUGGAUCUAGCCCAGUAAUUAACAUGAUGCUUUGGCACAUUGUAAGCACUUAAUAAAUACUGGUUUUAUUAUUCUGUUUUGUCAUCUAUCCUCUCACACGCUCGCACCCACACCCACACCCCCCCCACCACCCCCUUACCUCUUUAUGAGUUUUACGUAUUCAUCCAUAUCUUCUUGGUUUGGUCUUCCUCCAGCCAGUAGGAACUGAAAUGAAAAACCCAAACAGAUCCAAAUGAAACUCUGAGGAUUCAAUUAAAUCUAAUGUACCCCAUCUAAAUCCCAAUCCCAAUGUAUUGCUUCUUUCCCCUUUCCUGGAACUGUUUUCUUCCUUGUUUCAAAGACUAUUUUGUCCAACUUCUUUCUACAUCUGCUUUUUCACUCUAAAACCUCAAUGCCAGGGAGAUUAUUUAUGAUUUAUAGGAAGAGAGCUCUCCUUUCAACAUUAAGAUGGCUGGGCCGCCUUUAGAAUCCAAAGUGUCUGGUCAAAAUGAAAAUGUGGAUGGUGACAGGAACAACAAGUAGCUGUUAGAUUGAAAAAAUAUUCUGUCAAAUGUAUUUCAUUAUUUUUAAGUAUGUAAAGAAUGAAGCUGGAAGAGGUUUGUAAAUGACCUCUUCAAAGACUCUUCAUUAGCUUGAAGAACUAAUAGAUCGGGGAAAGGAAAUUCAGUUUUCAUCGACGCUUCUAAUUUGAUAGCAUAUUUUCUGAACAUGUUUAACAGGAUAACACCACUGAAUAUCUAAAGUACUGUAUGUAAAAAUAACUUCAUUACUUGAAAUUUCAUCACAGCUUUGAAGGUGUUUUAGGGGCUGUGUAAAUCACCUUGAAUGUAUUACAGAACCUCAGCUCUGUAAGAGUUCUAAGUGAAAACUUGCCGUGUUUUUAUUUUUGUCAUAUCAAGAACAUCCUUUUUGAUUCAGCAUAACAUGCAAUAUUAUGGUUAUUUGCAGUACCCUUAUAAUUUCAUUUAACCAGUUUGAUGGAGAGAAUAUCUGGCAUUGAAUACAGAGUAGUAUAUUGUUAGUAG